GAUGUCGUAGCCGCUGGUAUGGCAUAGGCCCGCAAAGCUGAAGUUGAUGGUUCGAAUCCAUCCGGCAUCA
rnacentral:tRNA from 1 species